rnacentral:tRNA from 4 species
GCCGCCGUGGUGGAAUUGGUAGACACGCAGGUCUCAAAAACCUGUGAGGGCAACUUCAUGUCGGUUCGACUCCGACCGGCGGCA